CCGUGCCAAACCGUUAGGUUUCUCCGAGUCUCUCUCUCUCUCUCUCAGUCUCUCUCCCGCUGUCCCUUAAUCUGGCGGCGAUCGGCAAGCAACUCCAGAUUAUGCAUUUCCCUUUAUCGAUUCCACGCUCGGUCUUCUCGUUCCCUUCUUUUCCGGUUCUUGGUAUUAAUGUCAGUGAAUAUAUCAGCACAAGUUAAACUUCUGGAUUGAAGAUUGGUUGAAGUUGGAGUUAAGCCUUUGAAAGGGAAACACUUUAUCCUGGUAUUGCUUGAUUGUUGAAAUAAUAGUCUCAUUGAUUUGAGAUCCUUUUUUAUCUCUCUGUAAUAUGUGCAUCUAACAUUUAAAACUUGAUGAUUAUGGCCUCUUUAGGAGUUAGUGUAAAUCCAUAUUCUAUCGUUCUUAUAAAUUUUAAAAUGUAAUAAAAGUUAUAAAGCUGAUGCUUGUACAUAUCUCCAAAGCAUGCACAAAUAGAAGGAUAUGAUGUAAAUAAGCCAUUAAAUUAUUUUUAUUGGUUCAAUGAA